GACGUACGCUGGCGGCGUGCCUAAUACAUGCAAGUAGAACGCUGAAGAGAGGAGCUUGCUCUUCUUGGAUGAGUUGCGAACGGGUGAGUAACGCGUAGGUAACCUGCCUGGUAGCGGGGGAUAACUAUUGGAAACGAUAGCUAAUACCGCAUAAAAUUGAUUAUUGCAUGAUAAUUAAUUGAAAGAUGCAACUGCAUCACUACCAGAUGGACCUGCGUUGUAUUAGCUAGUUGGUGAGGUAACGGCUCACCAAGGCGACGAUACAUAGCCGACCUGAGAGGGUGAUCGGCCACACUGGGACUGAGACACGGCCCAGACUCCUACGGGAGGCAGCAGUAGGGAAUCUUCGGCAAUGGGGGGAACCCUGACCGAGCAACGCCGCGUGAGUGAAGAAGGUUUUCGGAUCGUAAAGCUCUGUUGUAAGAGAAGAACGGGUGUGAGAGUGGAAAGUUCACACUGUGACGGUAUCUUACCAGAAAGGGACGGCUAACUACGUG
rnacentral:rRNA from 1 species